rnacentral:rRNA from 1 species
AGUGAACGCUGGCGGUAGGCCUAACACAUGCAAGUCGAACGGCAGCACAGUAAGAGCUUGCUCUUACGGGUGGCGAGUGGCGGACGGGUGAGGAAUGCAUCGGAAUCUACUUUUUGGUGGGGGUUAACGUAGGUAAACUUACGCUAAUACCGCAUACGACCUACCGUGGAGAGCAGUGGAUCUUCUGACCUUGCGCGAUUGAAUGAGCCGAUGUCGGAUUAGCUAGUUGGCGGGUGGAAGGCCCACGAAGUGGCCGAUCCGUGGCCGGUCUGGGUGGAUGGUCGGCCACCCUGGAACUUGACCACCGACCAGGCUCCUACGGGAGGCAGCAGUGGGGAAUAUUAGACAGUGGUCGCAAACCUUAUCCAGCCAUCCCGCGUGGGUGAAGACGGCCUUCCGGUUGUAAAGACGUUUUGUUGGUAAAGAAAAGCAGCAGGUUAAUACCACGCUGGUCUGACGGUAACCAAAGAAUAAGCACCGGCUAACUUCGUG